UUUCCGUAGGUGAACCUGCGGAAGGAUCAUUAAUGAGUUGUCAUGGGGUUCGAUGCUGGCAGCCAAUUUUUGGAUGCAUGUGCUUGCCCUAAUAAUCAUCUUCCAAACACCUGUGCACAUUUUUGAGGGAGUCUUGAGUUGGUUGCCGCUCUUGGGUGAUUUUCUCACAUUCCCUUAAAUCAUUAUACGCUAUUAACAAUGUUGAACGUGCUCUGUGCCGCAAGGCUAUUAAUAUAAUACAACUUUUAACAACGGAUCUCUUGGCUCUC
rnacentral:misc_RNA from 1 species